rnacentral:misc_RNA from 1 species
UCUCCGUUGGUGAACCAGCGGAGGGAUCAUUACCGAGUUAUCAACUCCCAAACCCCUGUGAACAUACCCAACGUUGCUUCGGCGGGACCGCCCCGGUGCCCUCGGCGUCCCGGAACCAGGCGCCCGCCGGAGGACCCAAACUCUUGUUUAAACCAUAGUGGCAUAUUUUGAGUCUCAUAAGAAAAAUGAAUCAAAACUUUCAACAACGGAUCUCUUGGCUCUG